rnacentral:rRNA from 1 species
AAAUUGAAGAGUUUGAUCAUGGCUCAGAUUGAACGCUGGCGGCAGGCCUAACACAUGCAAGUCGAACGGUAACAGGAAGCAGCUUGCUGCUUCGCUGACGAGUGGCGGACGGGUGAGUAAUGUCUGGGAAACUGCCUGAUGGAGGGGGAUAACUACUGGAAACGGUGGCUAAUACCGCAUAACGUCGCAAGACCAAAGAGGGGGACCUUCUGGCCUCUUGCCAUCAGAUGUGCCCAGAUGGGAUUAGCUAGUUGGUGAGGUAACGGCUCACCAAGGCGACGAUCCCUAGCUGGUCUGAGAGGAUGACCAGCCACACUGGAACUGAGACACGGUCCAGACUCCUACGGGAGGCAGCAGUGGGGAAUAUUGCACAAUGGGCGCAAGCCUGAUGCAGCCAUGCCGCGUGUAUGAAGAAGGCCUUCGGGUUGUAAAGUACUUUCAGCGGGGAGGAAGGUGUUGUGGUUAAUAACCGCAGCAAUUGACGUUACCCGCAGAAGAAGCACCGGCUAACUCCGUGCCAGCAGCCGCGGUAAUACGGAGGGUGCAAGCGUUAAUCGGAAUUACUGGGCGUAAAGCGCACGCAGGCGGUCUGUCAAGUCGGAUGUGAAAUCCCCGGGCUCAACCUGGGAACUGCAUUCGAAACUGGCAGGCUUGAGUCUUGUAGAGGGGGGUAGAAUUCCAGGUGUAGCGGUGAAAUGCGUAGAGAUC